AACGAACGCUGGCGGCAGGCCUAACACAUGCAAGUCGAACGAGAAGCUAUCUUCGGAUAGUGGACAGUGGCGCACGGGUGCGUAACGCGUGGGAAUAUGCCCUUGGGUGCGGGACAACAGUUGGAAACGACUGCUAAUACCGCAUAAUGUCUUCGGACCAAAGAUUCAUCGCCCAAGGAUUAGCCCGCGUUAGAUUAGUUUGUUGGUGGGGUAAUGGCCUACCAAGACUACGAUCUAUAGCUGGUCUGAGAGGAUGAUCAGCCACACUGGGACUGAGACACGGCCCAGACUCCUACGGGAGGCAGCAGUGGGGAAUAUUGGACAAUGGGCGCAAGCCUGAUCCAGCCAUGCCGCGUGAGUGAAGACGGCCUUAGGGUUGUAAAGCUCUUUCAACGGUGAAGAUUAUGACGGUAACCGUAGAAGAAGCCCCGGCUAACUUCG
rnacentral:rRNA from 1 species